AUUGAACGCUGGCGGCAGGCCUAACACAUGCAAGUCGAGCGGAUGACGGGAGCUUGCUCCUUGAUUCAGCGGCGGACGGGUGAGUAAUGCCUAGGAAUCUGCCUGGUAGUGGGGGACAACGUUUCGAAAGGAACGCCAAUACCGCAUACGUCCUCCGGGAGAAAGCAGGGGACCUUCGGGCCUUGCGCUAUCAGAUGAGCCUAGGUCGGAUUAGCUUGUUGGUGAGGUAAUGGCUCACCAAGGCGACGAUCCGUAACUGGUCUGAGAGGAUGAUCAGUCACACUGGAACUGAGACACGGUCCAGACUCCUACGGGAGGCAGCAGUGGGGAAUAUUGGACAAUGGGCGAAAGCCUGAUCCAGCCAUGCCGCGUGUGUGAAGAAGGUCUUCGGAUUGUAAAGCACUUUAAGUUGGGAGGAAGGGUUGUAGAUUAAUACUCUGCAAUUUUGACGUUACCGACAGAAUAAGCACUGGCUAACUCUGUGCCAGCCGCCGCUGUAA
rnacentral:rRNA from 1 species